UUUGGAGGUUUCGGCUGGAAGGAUAAUACUUUAGCGGCGGACGGGUGAGUAACGUGUGGGCAACCUGCCGUAUACAGGGGAAUAAUCAUUGGAAACGAUGACUAAUACCGCAUGAGGUCACUGGGAGGCAUCUUCUGGUGAAGAAAGGAGAGAUCCGGUAUACGAUGGGCCCGCAUCUGAUUAGCUAGUUGGUGAGAUAACAGCCCACCAAGGCGACGAUCAGUAGCCGACCUGAGAGGGUGAUCGGCCACAUUGGGACUGAGACACGGCCCAAACUCCUACGGGAGGCAGCAGUGGGGAAUAUUGCACAAUGGGGGGAACCCUGAUGCAGCAACGCCGCGUGAAGGAAGAAGGCUUUCGGGUCGUAAACUUCUAUCGAUAGGGAAGAAAGAAAUGACGGUACCUAAAUAAGAAGCCCCGGCUAACUACGUGCCAGCAGCCGCGGUAAUACGUAGGGGGCAAGCGUUAUCCGGAAUUACUGGGUGUAAAGGGAGCGUAGGCGGCAUGGUAAGCCAGAUGUGAAAGCCCGCGGCUUAACUGCGAGGAUUGCAUUUGGAACUAUCAAGCUAGAGUACAGGAGAGGAAAGCGGAAUUCCUAGUGUAGCGGUGAAAUGCGUAGAUAUUAGGAAGAACACCAGUGGCGAAGGCGGCUUUCUGGACUGAAACUGACGCUGAGGCUCGAAAGCGUGGGGAGCAAACAGGAUUAGAUACCCUGGUAGUCCACGCUGUAAACGAUGAGUGCUAGGUGUCGGAGGGGAACCUUCGGUGCCGCAGUAAACACAAUAAGCACU
rnacentral:rRNA from 1 species